GUGUCAGAAGGAGGGUGGUAAAUUUGGCACUCAAGAGGGAAACUUAUGUGCUUCAUGAGGUCAUUGCUUACAGUACAACUACUAAAAGAGCAUUGCCUGCAAACUCUUUUGUGAUCAGUUUCUUCCCUUCUCUCAUAUACCCUCUGUAGGUCCACUGAUUGCAUUUUGAGAGCUCAGAUAAGCAGAGAGCAAUGCAAUUUGUCACGGAAGGAUGAUUAUGUAUAUGCACUGUUAUGUCUAUUUCCAUGCCUAACUCGAAGGAGACACAGGGAGAAAGUGAGCUCAGCCCGGGUAAAUUGGAGGUUGUGAUGACUUCGAGGAAGCCUCAGUAAAGAGAAACAAAGACAACACUGGCCUGCUGCUCUGUGCAAUGGUGGGACCCUUGUGGGAUAACUGUUGUAGGAAUGAAGGUGUCUAGCCUCUCUAGAAAUGAAAAUGUAAGUUUGGCUGUGGUUGAGUAUUGAAUGGAGGCAAAAAGAAACUGACAUAUUUGCUCCUUUUCAAUUGUUUGUUUCACCCUGAGGGGCAUGGCUGCCUAAUUUUUUUCUCCAGAGAUAGGUGGACAGAUAAAGACAGGAAAGUAACAUCCACAGACUGCCCUCUGUGAAGGUGACAGUGAUGAAGGGAAUGCGUGAUCUGAACACUGGUAAAUAAAGUGACAGCAUAUUUCCCUAGCCAGGAGAGCAAUCUGGCUUAAAAGAAACGAGAACAAUGACAUUACUGCCAGGCUGCUCCUAAGCCUUUGGCUAUUCUGUUCAGUACAAAUAAAAAGCAGUGAACAUAGCUGUGACCCACCUUGUUGGCAACCACAGUGUCACAAUUCUUUGGGGCUUCACUUUGAGAAAUUGAGACCUACCUACCUUAACCCUGGGGGUUUAAGCUUUCAGACUGGAAUGACAACUGAACUAUUCAUUUGCAGUAAUUCUGGAUUUUGUGCAUAUUUUAAAAAGGAAUACCAGGCUUGCCUAUAUUCAUUACAAAGUCCUCCCAGCUUUCAAAUCUUCCAAUACAAUGUCUCUUCUCUAGUCUUUUAAGCACAUCCUGUGACUGGAUAUGAUUAUGGGAGAUUUACAUGCAUCCUUGUCUAUUGUAUCAAAAGAUCAGGGAAUAAAAUGCCCAUCAUUAAAAUCCCAAAGUGAUUGGAUUGGCAUGAGGAAUGGGGAUGGGGCUGGCAUGGGAGAGAGGGCUCUGACUCUGAGAUUUCAUGAAAUGCAAAACAAUAGGACAGCUGCUCUUCCAUAAACAGAUUAUUAUUAUUAUUUCUACCUAGACAGCUUGAUAGCAGCCAUUAUCUUCUUUCUGGGUGUCUUAUCAAGUUCCGGCUGUGUGCAGCAUGGGUGAUAAGGAAUGAGAAAUGUCACCCAUGGGAUUGCCAAGGAUUAUUUCUAUGCACUGCUGUUCAGCAACAGCCAAUCCCUCAGAACUGAGAAGUAGUCCCAUUGUUCACGCUGGGCAGUUGCUAUUCUGACUAUCCCAAGAAAGCAGAAAAGGGAUGUAGUUGCCAUUGUGCAAAAGAUUGAUAUUUCAUUACUCUCAGCUAAAGUUCAAGCAGUCUUGAUUUUGAAAAGCAGAAUCAUCAUGAAACAUCUUUGAAGAGAGAGAAGACAAGGGAAGAAAAGAAGAAUGAAAUGAGUUCAGAGCUUUUUAGAACUGUGAGAGAGUGCGAAAAAAGAAAGGUGUAAUACUUUCAAACAGUGGAAGUUAAAAUACCAGGCGUCUAAGCCUCAACGAAACCGAGCAGCAUCACAUCACCAUGACUUGUAGUCCAGCUGUUUAUUGCAAAGACUCCGUCCAGCAUUACUCACCAGAAAAUAGUUAGCUUUGUAUCUGGCAUUAUUUUAAUAAAAAAAAAAAAAAAAGCUAACUUACUAGAUUUCUGUUUGUCUGUGUUUCAUACAAGAUUCUUGAAUGAAAAUAAUCUAUUGAUAUUUAACAUUUUUCCUUUCCUUCUCGAUGAGAAAAUAAACAUUUUAUUAUACAUGCA